rnacentral:tRNA from 1 species
AUUUAUAUAGUUUAAAAAAAACAUUAUAUUUUCAAUAUAAAAUUAAUACCUUAUUUAUAAAUU